ACCAGUACCGUGAGGGAAAGGCGAAAAGAACCCCGGCGAGGGGAGUGAAAAGAACCUGAAACCGUGUACGUACAAGCAGUGGGAGCAUCCUUCGGGGUGUGACUGCGUACCUUUUGUAUAAUGGGUCAGCGACUUAUAUUCUGUAGCAAGGUUAACCGUAUAGGGGAGCCGCAGGGAAACCGAGUCUUAACUGGGCGUUAAGUUGCAGGGUAUAGACCCGAAACCCGGUGAUCUAGCCAUGGGCAGGUUGAAGGUUGGGUAACACUAACUGGAGGACCGAACCGACUAAUGUUGAAAAAUUAGCGGAUGACUUGUGGCUGGGGGUGAAAGGCCAAUCAAACCGGGAGAUAGCUGGUUCUCCCCGAAAGCUAUUUAGGUAGCGCCUCGUGAAUUCAUCUCCGGGGGUAGAGCACUGUUUCGGCUAGGGGGCCAUCCCGGCUUAC
rnacentral:rRNA from 1 species